rnacentral:ncRNA from 1 species
CAAAACUCAUUGAAAAGAAGAGUACACAAAAAAACAUUUAUUCAGCAAAGAUUUUUUGCUGAAGCGAGAGAGCUUUCGGAUGGUGGAAGAAAGUAAUGGACAUUUGUCGAAAAUGAUCUUGGAGAGGAAAAAUCGAUUUGAUUUUUACGGCUGCUACCGUUAACAAAGCGCCAAAUCAUAAAGUGAUUUAUUGUUUGGCUUGAGAUGGAAAUGAUUUUCCAAUAAAGGUGGUACCGCGAUCGUCGCCCUUUAC